CCCUUAGAUGUUCUGGGCCGCACGCGUGCUACACUGAGUGGAUCAGCGGGUCAGGUUGCGCGAAAGCGUUUCCUAAUCUUUAAAUCCGCUCGUGAUGGGGAUUGACGGUUGCAAUUUUCCGUCAUGAACGAGGAAUACCUUGUAAGCGCGGGUCAUCAUCCCGCGCUGAAUACGUCCCUGCCCUUUGUACACACCGCCCGUCGCUCCUACCGAUUGAGUGGUCCGGUGAGGCUUUGGGAUCUGAGCGGAAAGAGCGUUUCGCUGUUUCUGCCCGGAAAACUCAGUCGAACCUUAUCAUUUAGAGGAAGGAGAAGUCGUAACA
rnacentral:rRNA from 1 species